rnacentral:rRNA from 1 species
GUUUGAUCCUGGCUCAGGAUGAACGCUAGCGGCAGGCCUAAUACAUGCAAGUCGAGGGGUAAGGUUCACUUCGGUGAACACACGACCGGCGCACGGGUGCGUAACGCGUAUGCAACCUACCAUUAACUGGGGAAUAGCCCCGAGAAAUCGGGAUUAAUGCCCCAUAAUAACAUUUUAGGACAUCCUUUUAUGUUUAAAGCUCCGGCGGUUAAUGAUGGGCAUGCGUGACAUUAGUUUGUUGGUGAGGUAACGGCUCACCAAGACUACGAUGUCUAGGGGUUCUGAGAGGAAGAUCCCCCACACUGGUACUGAGACACGGACCAGACUCCUACGGGAGGCAGCAGUAAGGAAUAUUGCGCAAUGGAGGCAACUCUGACGCAGCCAUGCCGCGUGAAGGAUGACAGCCUUAUGGGUUGUAAACUUCUUUUAUUAGGGAAUAAACCUCCGAUCGUGAUCGGAGCUGAAGGUACCUAAAGAAUAAGCACCGGCUAACUCCGUGCCAGCAGCCGCGGUAAUACGGAGGGUGCAAGCGUUAUCCGGAUUCAUUGGGUUUAAAGGGUGCGCAGGCGGACUUUUAAGUCAGUGGUGAAAUCCCGGGGCUCAACCCCGGAACUGCCAUUGAUACUGGAAGUCUUGAAUUUGGUUGAAGUGGGCGGAAUGUAGCAUGUAGCGGUGAAAUGCUUAGAUAUGCUACAGAACACUGAUCGCGAAGGCAGCUCACUAAGCCAAAAUUGACGCUCAGGCACGAAAGCGUGGGGAGCGAACAGGAUUAGAUACCCUGGUAGUCCACGCCGUAAACUAUGAUCACUCGUUGUUGGCGAUACACUGUCAGCGACUAAGGGAAACCGAUAAGUGAUCCACCUGGGGAGUACGAUCGCAAGGUUGAAACUCAAAGGAAUUGACGGGGGCCCGCACAAGCGGUGGAGCAUGUGGUUUAAUUCGAUGAUACGCGAGGAACCUUACCUGGGCUCAAAUGUAAGUUGACAGUCCCCGAAAGGGGAUCUUCUUCGGACAAUUUACAAGGUGCUGCAUGGUUGUCGUCAGCUCGUGCCGUGAGGUGUCGGGUUAAGUCCCAUAACGAGCGCAACCCCUACUCUUAGUUGCCAGCAUGUAAUGAUGGGGACUCUAAGAGAACUGCCUACGCAAGUAGAGAGGAAGGUGGGGAUGACGUCAAAUCAGCACGGCCCUUACGUCCAGGGCUACACACGUGCUACAAUGGCCGGUACAGAGGGCAGCCACCACGCGAGUGGGAGCAAAUCUCCAAAGCCGGUCUCAGUUCGGAUCGAAGUCUGCAACCCGACUUCGUGAAGCUGGAAUCGCUAGUAAUCGCGCAUCAGCCAUGGCGCGGUGAAUACGGUCCCGGGCCUUGUACACACCGCCCGUCAAGCCAUGGAAGUU